UUGAACGCUGGCGGCAGGCCUAACACAUGCAAGUCGAACGGUAACAGGAAGAAGCUUGCUUCUUUGCUGACGAGUGGCGGACGGGUGAGUAAUGUCUGGGAAACUGCCUGAUGGAGGGGGAUAACUACUGGAAACGGUAGCUAAUACCGCAUAACGUCGCAAGACCAAAGAGGGGGACCUUCGGGCCUCUUGCCAUCGGAUGUGCCCAGAUGGGAUUAGCUAGUAGGUGGGGUAACGGCUCACCUAGGCGACGAUCCCUAGCUGGUCUGAGAGGAUGACCAGCCACACUGGAACUGAGACACGGUCCAGACUCCUACGGGAGGCAGCAGUGGGGAAUAUUGCACAAUGGGCGCAAGCCUGAUGCGGCCAUGCCGCGUGUAUGAAGAAGGCCUUCGGGUUGUAAAGUACUUUCAGCGGGGAGGAAGGGAGUAAAGUUAAUACCUUUGCUCAUUGACGUUACCCGCAGAAGAAGCACCGGCUAACUCCGUG
rnacentral:rRNA from 1 species